rnacentral:rRNA from 1 species
AUUGAACGCUGGCGGCAUGCUUUACACAUGCAAGUCGAACGGUAACAGGUUAAGCUGACGAGUGGCGAACGGGUGAGUAAUGCAUCGGAACGUGCCCGGUCGUGGGGGACAACGCAGCGAAAGCUGCGCUAAUACCGCAUACGAUCUGAGGAUGAAAGCGGGGGACCGUAAGGCCUCGCGCGAUCGGAGCGGCCGAUGUCAGAUUAGGUAGUUGGUGGGGUAAAGGCUCACCAAGCCGACGAUCUGGAGCUGGUCUGAGAGGACGACCAGCCACACUGGGACUGAGACACGGCCCAGACUCCUACGGGAGGCAGCAGUGGGGAAUUUUGGACAAUGGGCGCAAGCCUGAUCCAGCAAUGCCGCGUGCAGGAAGAAGGCCUUCGGGUUGUAAACUGCUUUUGUACGGAGCGAAAAGGCUCUCUCUAAUACAGGGGGCUCAUGACGGUACCGUAAGAAUAAGCACCGGCUAACUACGUGCCAGCAGCCGCCGUAA